UACAGGAUCUCAUUUUGGGUGGUGUACACAGAUCCAUUGGAUUAAGGAUAAAAUGUUGUUUAAUUUGCAUUGACAAGUUAAGUCAGAUCCAACUUUACAUGGCUUUUAAAAAAAUGUAUGUUACCAGUAUAUAAAGAGGUGGAUUAAGAUUUUGCAGCAGAAUAGCAGGCAUUCUUCUGCAAGACACUUCAGUGUAAUCUAUGGGUAUUUAAUGUACUUCCAGAGGACAAAAUUAUAUAUACAACUUUUCUGAGCAUGCACCAGUCAUCCCAAGAACGCCAAAGUAGUUAAAAACCUAGAUUUAUAGUAAAAUAGUUUUAUAUAGCUACUAAACUAAAUGAAGAGUUCAUGGAAAGGACAAAUACAAAACACAUGCUUGCAAAAAUAGCACUGGUAGAGUAACAGUAUAAAAACAUGUCUGUAAGAUCCUUAAUGUUUGUAAGCUGCAUCUGGCAACAAGGAAGGCUAAUGAGAUUUCAAACUACAGUAUGUCAAAUUUAUGAGGUGUAGAAGGACAUGUCCCUUACACUUAUGUAAAAUAAUUGGCAAUAAAGGAGCUUAAAGAGAUUCCUGACCUGAUCUGAAAUCUAAAGUUAAACCCUGACUGGAUUUUAUGAGAAAGUAGGUAGGUUUUUUUCCUUGUCUUCAAAAUCUAUCAUUAGUUACUAUCAAUCUUAAAGUUUCCACAGUGCCAGUGUCUGGAGCAUCUAAGUGCCAAUGUAUCUUCUGCACUGUGAGUGUGCCACUGAAGUGACUUUAUACGUAUGGCAUGAAUCUCACCCGGGCUUUCAGAAGUGUCUAAAAACACACAGAGUUAAUAAUACACUGUGAAAGCAGGUGCUCCAGAAAACUGCAUUUGUGACCUUUCUCUCCCUAAAAGAACAAACAAGCACUAUUUUGAUGUAUAUGUAAAAUUUUUUUUGCUUUCUUUUGUUUAUGUUACGCAGUUUCUAGCUGUCCAUUGCUGCAGGAACAGUUAAACUUUUAUUUUACUUCAGGAAUGUGUGAAAAAUAUUAGCCCAUCUCUGAGAAUCAAAGCACUUACUCUGAGUAUGUUUCUCUUUCAAGAUACAAAAACUCCAAAAAUACCUGGAGUUAAAGUUACCAUGAAGCUAGUGAUUAAGUCUGGGACUUUCUGAGUUGGAUUCGGUUCUUUUAUCUAAUACAAAUUUGAUUUCUGAUCUUAGCCAAGCUAGAUAGUUUCUUUCCUGCAAAGAAUGAAAACAACAUCUCCUUUCCUGAUGAAGCUAGUUAUGCUAAAGAGUGUGUAAGACCCUUAACACACAUAAAAGAAAGAGAUUUUUAAAAUAUUCUUUUAAGAAAAUAUAACAUUCUUUUGUUCUGAAUGUUCUCCAUUAUUCAGUAACCAUAUACAUAAGACCUCCUUACAGCAAUAACUUACAGAAAUUGUGUGGGAAUGUAUCAUAAGGUAUGCAAGCUACUCCAGCCAAUUUUAGAGCCUCACAGAGCUAGAUACUGAAAGACAAAUAAUAACUUUGAAGUCCUGCUCUGAGGCACUAUAGAUUACACUUGCCAAAUGGACAAAGCAUAGUAAAUCUGAAAAAGUCAGAUUUAAAUAUAAUUUCUGGAUUUUUUUUUAACCUAUUAAAUUAUGAAAGUGUACAUUUGGGUUAUUCAGAUGGAUUUCAUUCUGCCCUAGGCACUAUUGAAGGGGCAGGGAGGAAUCUACCUUUAAAAUCGUUUAAUCUAAUUUAGGGUUGUGGAGACCAAAAUGGCUUAAUCAAAACCACAUGACAGUUACUAUAGAAUAUCACUACAUUUAAGACUUAUUAUAUGAAUUUUAUGAGCACGUGUAAAUUUUGCUUUGGAAUAGUUCUGCUAGCCUUAUACUAUGGUUUACCUUAUACUGAUGACAUAUACUUUCAAACUCAGUUUUCCCUUAGCUUUUGUCUGGGACUGGAAUAUAGAUUUUGAAAGUGGAAAACAAAUAAGAUUUCACUUGAGUCACUCUUUUAGUCCCUCUUCACUGCAAGAUCAUGCAUACCAUGUUGCCCUAAGAAGGCUCGCUUCCAUGAAGGCAUUCCUGGCAGGGGCACUUUACUUCUCCUAGUUCAAUUCCAUAGCUCUCAAUUUCACCCUGUAUAACAUGCUAAGUAGUUGAGUUGCCUCUGUGUUGAUGUGCAGCCUAGGACAGUGUAAAUUAUUUUGAUUCCUUCACCCUUAAAAUCCAUGGGAAGGAUCCAGAAGAGUUUGGAUGUCAUAGGAAACAACAAAGUGCUUGAGGCAUGGGGUUGCACUUUGGGAGCCUGGAGAACUCCUCACUCUAUAUGCAAACAACAGCUGUGCAGCAGUCAAUCGCACAGACAGACACUGGCUGUGUUUUACCUGAAAAUGGAGAAGGGCACGUUCCUGAGACAAUGGCUGCAGGUCUUUAACUUUUCUUUGAAAAACAGUGAAACUACUUCUAAGGAAAAUUUUCUUAGAAAGAUCUACAUAUUCCUGAGCCUGAGUUGGGAAACCAGCAAGGAGUAAUUCAGCUAGAUGGUAAAAGGACAGCAAAGACAAAAGCAAAAAAACCAAGGCCAUGUGGUGCAACCAGGCGUCAUGCCUACAUUGCAGCCCCUAUUGCCUCGAUCUCAUCUGAUUCUUUAAAAGUGAAGGGAAUUGCCAUGCAUGUGUGAAAUCCAGUUGCUGACUACUGAUCAAUCAUGUCCCUCACUGUCAUUCCUGAACAAUAACACAGCCUAUAGAAACUGUCUUUAACCUUUCCUAUAUUUUCCUUUUCCUGGAAGUUUCUCCCAUCAAGUGUUCUGGGAAAUGUCUAACCCAUUAACAGCAAGCACAGCUGACCUGAGCAGUUCUGAGGCUGAGCACUUGUCAAUUUUAAUUUGGGGUGUUAUUAUAACAAAGUCCAGCCAUGCUUCACUAGGAAUGCAUAUGCUGCAUACUCUAUUAAAACUAACUCUUUGUUCAAGGUAAAAUACCUUACAGCUUAAGAAUGAUAGCAGCAAAAUAUGAAAGUGAGGGUUAGGGCCUCUUUAGGCCAAAGUCCAGGCAAGUUUAAUACCAGCUUUUGGUGUGUAGGCAGGGCUAGCUGGAACUGAAGUGGUGACAAUGCAGAAAAGGAUGGAGCCAGAGCUUUCUAAAUGGUCACAUUUGCUUGCAGAAGCUUCAGAGUUAUUUCCUUGACUAUGCUAACACAGCUCUGAAUUGUGUAAUGGGAGGGGGAAGCUGCUGAAUGAAAGCAGGGAUUCAUGAAAGAUGGAUCAGGUCCGGUAUGGUGCAGGAGAAGUGUGUGGGGAGGUAUGUGUAGAUGUGUAUCUAGAAGCAUAUGCAUGUGUAUAUAUAUAUGUAUGUGAGUAGAAGAGAGAGGUGAGUGCAUACAUUGGAUGUGAGCUGCAUGCAUCCAGGUGCACGCUGAAAUGGAGCUAGGCUCUAUGAUAGUAUGCUGAACAAGAAAAGUGCUCUAGUGAGGAUAAAAGCAUCAGAUAAAGGUGUCACAGGGACUGUGGGACACAUAAACGUGCUCCUGGACAUGCUAUGCAGGUGGUGGGUCUGGAGACCCUGCCUCUUAUGAACCAUGCCUGAGGCAGCAGGAGUGCCUCCCUGCCUCUGCCGCUGCUUGUCUCCACCAGCCAAAGUAGCUUGGAAAGAUGGAGUGAGGUUUGCACCCAUGGGUUCCUUAAAACAACACUGUAAGCACUUUGACGAUGACUGAAUGAUAAAUUCUUGAGACCUGAUUUUUUUUUUAUUUUUAUUUUUUUUGUCUGGUGAAAUGCAACUGUAAUAUGGGAAAUCUUGAUGUUGCUAAAGUUGCCUUCUUCAUUAAGAUAUAACUUUGUUUUGCAUCUAGAUGAAAAUGCCCUUGUCAUUUUAGGACAGGACUUUGCAUUAAACAUGCUGAGAAAAAAAUCAGAGUAAAUAGGCAGAUAGGAGAAGAGAUAAGAGGUCUGUUUGUUUAGGCUAUAUCCAAAAAUGAAUUGAAACACAGGACCUGAAGUACAAUAAUUUCAGCCAAAAUAAUGGAGCACUCUGUUAUGUAUUAAAUAGAUGUCUAGAGUGCUGGUGGAAUUGGCAAAAAGAGGACCCAUUCCAGAAAAAAUGGCUACUGCAAUUUUUGUCAUUUUGUCAAGUCUUUGGUGAUACAUUUGGAUCUCAGGGUUGGUUGUUUGGGGUUUUUUUAACGGACAAAUGGUCUCUUUUUUUCUCAAAUGCUCACAACAUAGGUAAUAGCUGAAUCAGCUUAAUGAAAGACACAGUAAAUUAAACUCAACAGCAAUCAAAACAACAAAACAAGGUUACUCAAGCGAGGACCCAGUAAGAAGACUUAGCUUAAUGUGAAAAACAAAGGACUAAAAACUCAUUAUGGGUGUGAGGUCAGCAAACAGCCCUGCUGCUGCUCCUUUUAGUGGCAGGGAUUUUAGUACAGAAGCUUUCUCAGCAUUUAAUGAAAAGAAUAAAUGAGCUUUACAUGGGCUGAUACUUGAAGGAGCCUCUGAAAAUACAAUAGUUGCUAACAGACAUUGUUGAACUGAUGAAGAAUGAACAUGGAGAGCAGAGCCUUGACACAAUUUCAUAAUGAUGUAUACAGCAACGAAACAGGCAUCCCAGGAGCUGUUUCCUAGGGCUGCUCUUACUGAGUUUAUGUACCUUUCCCUUUUGCAAAAGAUGCCACCAGGUCACCAGCGAAAGAGGUGACUGCCCCAAGCACCAGGAUCUAAACUGGAAAUAGGAUGAUUUCUGUUUCUUCUUAUUUCAGAUUUAGCAGUAUGAGGCCAGUUCCCAUACAAUAGUUCCUCUCGAGCUUUGUAGAGGCCUGUGUUGCUUUUCCCAAUUUGCAGACAGCAGUGGUUUACAAAAUGUCUGAGUCCAAAUAUGUCCUUUUUUAAAAAAAAAAAAAAAAAAAAAAAGUGAUCUUAACUCUUUUUAUAGUUCCCAUUUCCUUCACCUGAAAAAUGAACUAAAUUUUUUUGCAGUAUUGACUUUUCUGGUCUGAGGGGGUAAUGAUGAGCAGAUGUGUUGCAGACAUGGCCUCACAAAGCCUGCAUCCAUACAGCCUCCUGGGCAUGCUGCAAAGAGUACUGAGGCUGUAUGUGAUGCAAAGUGGGAAUUGUCACUACUUAUCAUAACAUAUGCUAGAAAAUAAAGUCUGUCUCGAGUGCAUGCUACACAAAGACCUAGGACAUAGAACAAAUGCAUUUUAUUAAUAUAGGAAAAGGCUCCUUGGUUGUGUUCUCUUCAGCAUGUAACAGCGAAUACUUAGAACAGUGCAAAGUGAUGGCCCAAGUAAACAAAAGCAAAAUAAAAAAUGAAACAGAGUGGUCUGAGAGAAACAAUAAUGUACUAUAACAUAUGGACUUUUUUGAAAGUGAGGAGCGAUAUUGUGCAACUGUAGCCCAACAGCUUUUCCUAACAUUAUUCUAAUUUUUAAAGUAGCUGCUACAACAGACACAGUUUCUCAGGGUCCUAAGCUGACCAUACAUCUCUCUAACUGCAUAAAAAGAAACCAUGGAACCACAGAAUCGCAGAACAGCCCAGGUUGGGAAGGACCUCAAAGAUCACUUGGUCCAACCUGUCCUGGGAAAGGCAUCCUGAAUUAGAUUUCCUACCACUCUGUGCAGUCAAAUCCUGAAAACCUCCAGUGAUGGGGACUCCACCAUGUCCCUCAGGAGCUUGUUCCAUUGAAUGAUUUUUCUUACUGUAAAAAAUUUAUUUUUUAUGAAAUAUCAAAAAGGAAUCCUAUACUCAGGAAGUGAAAGACAAGCAGUACCUUUCUAUUGGAUUUCAAUACAUAGCCCCUUUGCAGUGUGCUGCAAAUCCAUGAGACUAAAGAUAAAUAUAAAUUAGCCCCACAGAAAAGGCAAGCCUUUGACUCUGCAACUGUUUUUCAGCAUGCACAAGUACAGAAGUGCAAAUGCAAAAAGACAGGGUGAUGCAAGAAUAGAUAAAAGUAAAAAUCUUGGAAAACUGAGGUGCAUGUGACAUUUCUGGUAUUCAGUCCGGGACACUAUAUCAAUGAACCCAAUUCUUCCAUCUUUUCUGCUGGUUAAAUACUCCCCAGAGCAUUGAAGUCACAGGUCUCAGUAGCUUACCGGCCUGUCUGUUACCAUCCUCAGAAGCAGCUGAGAAAAAGUGGCAUCUGUUUGUUCCUCCUCCUAUCUUCUCCUAAUCACUCUGUCCCAUUUCACAUCUGUGAAAUUUUCUGAUAAAAAUUGCUACCUGCAUCAGAAUCAGCCAAGAUGUGGCUUCUGUCCCAUUUCAUGGGCAGCCACAAACCCAUGCCACUCCUUAUGAUCACUGAGCUCAUGUUUCUGACGAGAAUACGAGCUGGAAAAAGGUUGUAGGUUUACUAGCAAGCCCACAUGCAAUCUGAAACUGAAAACCUCAAUCUUUGGUCUGCAAACUGAGCUAAUCUGUCAUGGAAAUGAUCAGACAAGCAUAAAUUUUACUUCAGAAUAUCAUUGCCAUUAAUUUGUUAACUGUGCUUUUAAGAGUGUUUAAGUAUUUCCCCUUUCUGUGUUACAACCAGUACUGCACAUACCUUCCUGGUUUGCUAGGUUUAGGUAUCUCCUGAGAAGUGUAAGCAAGGAGUUUGGGGUGGAUCCCACUGAGCUCACUGUGUUCAUCACCACAGGAUCUGGUCCCCCCUGUGGCUCCAGCUGCAGGUUGCCACCACUUGUUCCCCUCCCCUGCGUGAUCCCCUCCUCCACCCCACUGUAUCUAAAUGCACCUUAUUUAUUCCUGUGUGAAACAGUAGGUGACUUCUGAAAACUCUCUGAGCCUCUGGAAGGUGGAACAAAUGUCCUCCAUCACUUUUCCUGUAACACUCUGCCAGAGACAAAGCCUUCAAGUUUCUGCUGGUCUGUAGUGGUUGAGGAAGAGUUGGGUGGAGACUGGUGUGCUGCAACUUCCACAGCCUGAGGGAAAUGGAGAACUUGGGAGCGGAACUGAAACCAAACUUCAAAAUACAUCAAAGAUCACCCAGGGGCUGAAAAGACGGAAGUUACCCCAGACCCAACAAACCUCACACAGCUUAAUUCAGCAAACUAGACAG